ensembl:snRNA U4 U4 spliceosomal RNA
AACUUUGUGCACUGGCAGUAUCAUAGCCAAUAAGGUUUAUCUGAGGCACAAUUAUUGCUAAUUGAAAAUGUUUCCCAAUACUCUGCCAUGACGACUUGAAGUAUAGUUGACAUUGGCAAUUUUUGACAGUCUCUAUGGAGA